AAAAAGGGUUCUAAUCAUGAAAGCAAAGUUGAUACAUCAGAAUCUGAUACUAAAGUUAAUAAAAUGGAGCCCAAGGAAAAUAUCUGUGAUACUGCAGAUGAUUUUUCUACAUCAAACCUGGAAAAUGAGUUGGGGAUGUGGCUCAAGCAGUAGCGCGCUCGCCUGGCAUGCGUGCGGCCCGGGUUCGAUCCUCAGCACCACAUACAAACAAAGAUGUUGUGUCUGCCGAAAAACCAAAAAAUAAAUAUUAAAAUUCUCUCUCUCUCUCUCUCUCUCUCUCUCUCUCCCUCUCUCUAAAAAAAAAACCUGGAAAAUAAGGGGGAUUCAGAAAGUUCAGAUAGCAACUCUAGUAUGAAACAAAUAAUGGAGGCCUUUGUGGAAAAAAUGAAAUUAAAAAAUCAAUGGUCCUCUCUUAAACCUACUGUUCUUCCUAAGGCUUCUCUCUUUCAAAUGACAAAGUCUAAAGUUGAUGUGGGUAGAGAACAAUAGUGCUUUUCAUUUCCUCUUACUAUGAUAUAUGAUGAUGAUGAUCUUACAGCUUCCCAUGGCUGUUUUGUUAAUCCACCACAUUUAUUUUCUAUAACUAGAAAACAAAACAUAAUCUCAAAAUGAUUGAUUAUAAUCUCCAAAUGAUUGAUUAUAAUUACACUGCAUUGGAAUACAAGCUUAUAAAGAAUUUAAAAGCUGCAAUCUCUCAAUAUAGCACUUAGUGUCAUUUUGUAGUAGGUAUGUUAGAAAAUUUGGGAACUUCUAAAUUACUUAUUCCUUUGGACUGGGAGGCAUUAGUAAAAACAGUUUUAGAAGGAUCUCAGUGGUUAUAAUUUGGAAGUUGGUGUGAAGAUGAGGCACGAAAACCAGCAAGAGAGAAUGAGACUUAUAAUCCCCCUGGACCUAUGGAGUAUAAGUUAAU
rnacentral:lncRNA from 1 species